AACUCCAAGAGUGUAUCUUAAUGUUGCUGCAGUUAAAAAGCUCGUAGUUGAACUUCUGGCUGUUGAUGAAACUCAUGUGGAUUCGACAGUCAUCCGCUCGGAGAAGCAGUAUUUCCGUCAAAAGUUUUACUGUCGACCCAGCAUUUUACUUUGAAGAAAUUAGAGUGUUCCUGGCAGGCUUAGCUUGCAUAUAUUAGCAUGGAAUAAUGGAAUAGGACCUUUUCUGUUUUAUUGGUUGACAGAUAGGUAAUGAUUAACAGGGACAGUCGGGGGCAUUCGUACUCAGUGGCUAGAGGUGAAAUUCUUAGAUUCGCUGAAGACGAACUAAUGCGAAAGCAUUUGCCAAGGAUGUUUUCA
rnacentral:rRNA from 1 species